rnacentral:rRNA from 1 species
AGCUUGCUUUUAUGAGCUUAGUGGCAAACGGGUGAGUAACACGUAGACAACCUGCCGAUCAGAUGGGGACAACAUUCCGAAAGGAAUGCUAAUACCGAAUGGCGUGUAGGGGAGGCAUCUUCCCUACAUGAAAGAUGGCCUCUAUAUAUAAGCUAUCACUGAUACGAUGGCUCUGCGUCUGAUUAGCUAGUAGGUAAGGUAACGGCUUACCUAGGCGACGAUCAGUAGCUCGGUCUGAGAGGAUGAACGGCCUCAUUGGGACUGAGACACGGCCCAGACUCCUACGGGAGGCAGCAGUGGGGAAUCUUCCGCAAUGGGCGCAAGCCUGACGGAGCAACGCCGCGUGAGUGAAGAAGGUCUUCGGAUCGUAAAGCUCUGUUGAAGGGGACGA